UACGAAGGGGGCUAGCGUUGUUCGGAUUUACUGGGCGUAAAGCGCACGUAGGCGGAUUGUUAAGUCGGGGGUGAAAUCCUGGAGCUCAACUCCAGAAUUGCCUUCGAUACUGGCUUUCUAGAGGCUGGAAGAGGUUAGUGGAAUUCCCAGUGUAGAGGUGAAAUUCGUAGAUAUUGGGAAGAACACCAGUGGCGAAGGCGGCUAACUGGUCCAGAUCUGACGCUGAGGUGCGAAAGCGUGGGAGCAAACAGG
rnacentral:rRNA from 1 species